GCGGGUGUAGUUUAAUGGUAAAACCUCAGCCUUCCAAGCUGAGUUGUGGGUUCGAUUCCCAUCACCCGCUCCA
rnacentral:tRNA from 1 species